rnacentral:rRNA from 1 species
AUUGAACGCUGGCGGCAGGCCUAACACAUGCAAGUCGAGCGGAUGAAGGGAGCUUGCUCCUGGAUUCAGCGGCGGACGGGUGAGUAAUGCCUAGGAAUCUGCCUGGUAGUGGGGGAUAACGUCCGGAAACGGGCGCUAAUACCGCAUACGUCCUGAGGGAGAAAGUGGGGGAUCUUCGGACCUCACGCUAUCAGAUGAGCCUAGGUCGGAUUAGCUAGUUGGUGGGGUAAGGGCCUACCAAGGCGACGAUCCGUAACUGGUCUGAGAGGAUGAUCAGUCACACUGGAACUGAGACACGGUCCAGACUCCUACGGGAGGCAGCAGUGGGGAAUAUUGGACAAUGGGCGAAAGCCUGAUCCAGCCAUGCCGCGUGUGUGAAGAAGGUCUUCGGAUUGUAAAGCACUUUAAGUUGGGAGGAAGGGCAGUAAGUUAAUACCUUGCCGUUUUGACGUUACCAACAGAAUAAGCACCGGCUAACUUCGUG